AUUUCAAUAGUUUUUUAAAAAUUUUAGUUUUGUAAUCAAAGGAUAAGAGAUAUUCUUUUGAAAUA
rnacentral:tRNA from 1 species